rnacentral:tRNA from 1 species
GCGCAAUGGAUAGCGCAUCGGAUUUCUAUUCCGAAGGUUGCGGGUUUGCAUCCCAC